ensembl:lncRNA
GGGGGAUGGGGGAGGAACGGCCCUAAUAGUCCCAUAGGGCACACAGGGGGGCCUGGAGGGCACUUGGGGGUCCAAGGGGGCAGUUGGGGGUCCAAGGAGUCACUUGGGGGUCCCAGGGGGCAUUUGGGGGUCCCGGAGGGCAUUUGGGGGUCUCAGAGGGCACUUGGGGGUCUCAGAGGGUACUUGGGGGUCCAAGGGGGCACUUGGGGGUCUCAUAGGGCAUUUGGGGGUCCCAGGGGGCACUUGGGGGUCCCAAGGGGCACUUGGGGGUCCAAGGGGUCACUUGGGGGGCCCAGGAGGCACUUGGGGGUCCCAGAGGGCACUUGGGGGUCUCAGAGGGCACUUGGGGGUCGCAAAGGGUACACAGGGGGUCCUGUAGGGCAGUUGGGGGUCUCAGAGGGCACUUAGGGGGUCUCAGAGGGUACACAGGGGAUCCCAGGGGGCACUUGGGGGUCCAAGGGGGUACUUGGGGGUCCAAGGGGUCACUUGGGGGUCCCAGGGGGCACUUGGGGGUCCCGGAGGGGACCUGGGGGUCUCAGAUGGCACUUGGGGGUCCCAGAGGGCAGUUGGGUUUCCCAGAGGGCACUUAGGGGUCCAAGGGGGCACCUGGGGGUCCCAGAGGGCAUUUGGGGGUCCCAGAGGGGAUUUGGGGGUCCCGGUGGACACACAGGGGGUUUCAGAGGGCACUUUGGGGUCUCAGAGGGCACUUGGGGGUCGCAAAGGGUACACAGGGGGUCCUGUAGGGCAGUUGGGGGUCUCAGUGGGCAGUUGGGGGUCCCAGGGGGCACAUAGGGGUCCUGGACGGCACUUUGGGGUCCCAUGGGGCACUUGGGGGUCUCAGAGGGCACUUGGGGGUCCCAGGGGGCAGUUGGGGGUCCAAGGGGUCACUUGGGGGGCCCAGGGGGCACUUGGGAUCCCGGAGGGCACUUUGGGGUCUCAGAGGGCAUUUGGGGGUCCCAGGGGGCACUUGGGGGUCCUGGAGGGCACUUGGGGGUCCCAUGGGGCACUUGGGGGUCGCAAAGGGUACACAGGGGGUCUCAGAUGGCACUUAGGGGCUCCAAGGGUGCACUUGGGGGUCUCAGUGGGCACCUGUGGGUCCAAGGGGGCAACUGGGGGGCCCAAAGGGUACACAGGGGGUCCUGGAGGGCAUUUGGGGGUCCCAGAGGGCACAUAGGGGUCUCAGAUGGCACUUGGGGGUCUCAGAGGGCAGUUGGGGGUCUCAGAGGGCACUUGGGGGUCCCAGAGGGCAUUUGGGGGUCCCAGGGGGCACUUGGGGGUCCCAGGGGGCACUUGGGGGUCUCAGAGGGCAGUUGGGGGUCCCAGAGUGCACUUGAGGGUCCUGGAAGGCACUUUGGGGUCUCAGAGGGCACUUGGGGGUCCAUGGGGGCACUUGGGGGUCUCAGAGGGCACUUGGGGGUCCAUGGGGGCACUUGGGGGUCUCAGAGGGCAUUUGGGGGUCCCAGGGGGCACUUGGGGGUCCUGGAGGGCACUUGGGGGUCCCGUGGGGCACUUGGGGGUCACAAAGGGUACACAGGGGGUCUCAGAUGGCACUUAGGGGCUCCAAGGGUGCACUUGGGGGUCUCAGUGGGCACCUGUGGGUCCAAGGGGGCAAAUGGGGGGCCCAAAGGGUACACAGGGGGUCCUGGAGGGCAUUUGGGGGUCCUGGAGGGCACUUGGG